UUUCGCAAUGCCCGAAAGGGUGACGAAGCGACGCCGCGUGUGGGAAGAAGGCCUUCGGGUUGUAAACCACUGUCGGGAGUUAAGAAAUGUAAGGAUGUUAAUAGCGUCCUUACUUGAUUAAGGCUCCGGAGGAAGCCACGGCUAACUCUGUGCCAGCAGCCGCGGUAAUACAGAGGUGGCAAGCGUUGUUCGGAAUUAUUGGCCGUAAAGAGCACGUAGGCGGCCUUGAAAGUCAGUUGUGAAAGCCUUCCGCUUAACGGAAGAACAGCAGCCGAUACUGCAUGGCUUGAGUGCGGGAGGGGAGAGUGGAACUUCUGGUGGAGCGGUGAAAUGCGUAGAUAUCAGAAGGAACGCCGGCGGCGAAAGCGGCUCUCUGGCCCGUAACUGACGCUGAGUGUGCGAAAGCUAGGGGAUCAAACGGGAUUAGAUACCCCGGUAGUCCUAGCCGUAAACGAUGGGCACUAAGUAGAGGGGUUUUA
rnacentral:rRNA from 1 species